UACAGAGGGUGCGAGCGUUAAUCGGAAUUACUGGGCGUAAAGCGCGCGUAGGCGGCUUUGCAAGUCGGGUGUGAAAUCCCCAGGCUUAACCUGGGAACUGCAUUCGAGACUGCAUUGCUAGAGUAUGGGAGAGGGAAGUGGAAUUUCCGGUGUAGCGGUGAAAUGCGUAGAUAUCAGGAAGAACACCAAUGGCGAAAGCAGCUCUCUGGGACGGUACUGACGCUGAGACGCGAAAGCGUGGGGAGCGAACAGG
rnacentral:rRNA from 1 species